AUGCUAAUAACUCUGUAUCUCUUUUUUUUUUUUUUCCCCCUUAGCUUCCUGCUCGAUUCCAGGCUGAAAAGGAAUUUGGUUUCUGUUACAGGAAAGAUCACUAAAGAGAUUAUUAUCCUGAAACUCAAGAAUCUGCAGACACUUUUGGGUAAAACAAGCUUACAUUUGGACUGCCUGCUGUCUACAAGACUAAAAUCAUGCUAUGCAAAUAGAAGCACACUUCUGGAUUUCAGACUUUGUUAUUGCCACAAUUUAUUGCCAUUAUACCUGCUUCAGAUGAGUAUAUAAGAUUAAAAUUGAAUGCUGUAGAGCAAUUGCAUUAUUUGAAAAUUCUAAUAUUUUACAAUACACUUUGCCACUGAAGCAGCUAUUUCUCAUUUUUAAAAUUAAAGGAAACAAGAGCAGAGGAUUUAAAUGCUCUGAAGCAAAGUUAUUGGGCUUGUUUAAGGGGCUAACCUUAAUAGUUCACUCCUCCUCCAUUUGUGAAUAUCCAUAAAGAUACAAUUUGUUUCAUUUAUAUUGAGUUUUCAGGUGGAUGGUCUGUUUUCUAAACUUCUCCCAUUCAAAGCUCUAAUUAUUAUUGUCACAUUAUGCUUGCAGCAACCUUCCCUUUUUAAGAGCCUGUUUGCUUAUAACCUUGAGAACAUUAUUUUUAAAUUUUUCUGUGUCUCAAAUUAAUAUGCAUUUCUGGGAGUUCUCAUUGUGGUUCAGUGGAAACAAAUCCAACUAGGAUCCAUGAGGAUGCGGGUUUGAUCCCUGGCUCCUCUCAGUGGGUUAAGGAUCUGGCGUUGCUGUGAGCUGUGGUGUAGGUCGCAGACAUGACUCAGAUCUGGUGUUGCUGUGGCUGUGUUGUAGGCUUGCAGCUACAGCUCUGAAUCACCCCCUAGCCUGGAACCUUCCAUAUGCCACAGGUGUGGCCCUAAAAAGCCAAAAAAAAAAUAAUAAUAAUAUACAUUUCCAACCUAUUUUCUCUAUUAAAAAGUUUACAAUUUCACCCACCUAUUUCUCAGAAACAAUUUACUAGCUUAGAAGAAAAUGUGGUUUUAAGAUUCUGAUUUCUACCCAUAGUUGCUACAAAUAAAAUGAAUUUUUAAAGCUAUGUCUGACUUUUAAAAAUAAAUGAAUGAGAAUUAACCGUUAAAUUCCUCUGCUUACUAGUUUAUAGAGAAAAUUCGACCAAUUUUUUAAAAGUUAAACUUGAUUAAUUUCACUGUAUAGGGCCCAUAAACAUACAAAUGAUUUUUUUCUAGCCUCUAAACAGUGAUUGGUAGAGAUAUAUAUUUAAAGUGAUUCUGAAAAACAUUGCCCAUAGUUUCUCAUUACUAUUUACACCCCCAAGCUUAAGUUUUAAAAAAUAAUAUUUUUUAAAUAUCAGUAGUCUGAUCAAUCCCUACUAGAAGGUGCUUUUUGAUUAUGAAAUUUAGAAAUUCAGUCCAUAGCUUCACAUCUAAGCUUUCAAGAAAUGGAAUGCCUUUCCAUACUGAGCCCCCAUCUCUGUGGAUCAUCUCACCCCAAGAGUCAAGAAAAACAAUAGAAAAUUGACUGCUUUUCUAUAAUUUUCUAGUAUAAAAUGCAAAUGUGUCUAUUAUCUCUAAAGUAAGAAUUUCUAUACUGGCCUGAGGCUGGUGCCUACAAUUCUGCUGUUGACUUUAUUCGUAUUAAAAUGUGAAAUCCAAUAAAAGGUAAAAUG
ensembl:lncRNA